CAGGCCUAACACAUGCAAGUCGAGCGCUCGUAGCAAUACGAGAGCGGCAGACGGGAGAGUAACACGUGGGAACGCGCCCUUCGGUUCGGAAUAACUCAGGGAAACUUGAGCUAAUACCGGAUACGCCCUAACGGGGAAAGAUUUAUCGCCGAAGGAACGGCCCGCGUCCGAUUAGCUUGUUGGUGAGGUAAUGGCUCACCAAGGCGACGAUCGGUAGCUGGUAUAAGAGGAUGAUCAGCCUCACUGGGACUGAGACACGGCCCAGACUCCUACGGGAGGCAGCAGUGGGGAAUAUUGGACAAUGGGCGCAAGCCUGAUCCAGCCAUGCCGCGUGGGUGAUGAAGGCCCUAGGGUUGUAAAGCCCUUUCAGCGGGGAAGAUAAUGACGGUACCCGCAGAAGAAGCCCCGGCUAACUUAGUGCCAGCAGCCGCGGUAAU
rnacentral:rRNA from 1 species